UGAAAUAAUACUUUGUCAUCUAGCAAUGCAUUUUUCAAAUGCUUUCAGCAGCAGUCCUGCUUCUUCAAAUGAAAUCUUAUUUGGAAUUCCAACACACAUCACAGAUGAAAAUAGAAGGCUUCCUUGAGGAAGAAGGCAACAGAAGAGGAAUCAAAAGGUUCAUUUCUGGAAUCAGAUCCAUGUAACAGGCUUUUUAAAUUACCCUGCGAAUGAGUUUCCUCUCCAGCAGAGCGACGGAAACCUAACAAACCUUCUAAGUGGUACCCUGGCUGGUGUUAAAUUGAUUCAAAGGCUGAGGCUGCAGAUUCCAUACCAAGACUUCCACACUGAAUAGCCUUGGGCAGAUCAUUCAACCCUUCUUGGCCUCUAUUGACUCAGCUGUAAAGUUGGGUGAAUGCUGUUCACCUUAAAAGGUGAGUCGGCGUCCUCCUGCCACUUGCCUUCCCAAACGUACACCCAGUGCAAAGCCUGCUGCAGACAGAAGAGGUGCCAGGGGACAACACAGCCCUGGAUAGACACAGUCUCUGGCCUCCUGGACUUGAUAUUUUACUGGAAGAGACACGCAACAAGCAAGUUGGUGACCAAAAAGUAA
rnacentral:lncRNA from 1 species